rnacentral:rRNA from 1 species
UGCGUAGGCGGGCCUGUAAGUGUCCUGUGAAACUCCCCCGGCUCAACCGGGGAACUGCGGGGCAUACUGCGGGCCUUGAGGAAGGUAGGCGCCGAGGGAACAGUAGGUGGAGCGGUGAAAUGCGUAGAUAUCUACUGGAACGCCGAUGGUGAAGACGCUCGGCUGGGCCUUUCCUGACGCUGAGGCACGAAAGCGUGGGGAAGCAAACA